rnacentral:rRNA from 1 species
CCCUAUGGGGUGCGAGGUCGGGCUCCUGAGCGCUGGCGGGCGGACAAGCGACCAGCACGAGCGCGAGCAGGAACGCCAAGGCCAGGCCCAUGUACGCUGGAGGCUGUGCAGAGACAGCGACCGGCGGGCACAGGCUUUGCGCCACCCUGCGAUAGACCCACAAGACCAUGUGGUCCAACAACCUGUUACGGAAGGAUCGUGCUGCGCAACGGGCGGUCCGCCCUGCGCAGCACGUCCAGGUCGAACAUGAUCACUCCUCGGGCUGUGGCGGGAUCAGCAGCAUCUGACCGAUGUACAGCUCGUCUGGAUUCUCCAGAUCGUUGAUCUCAACGAUCUCACUGAUGGAGACGCCAUAGGUAUCGGCGAUGUCCUUGAGCGAGUCACCCUGCUUGACGGUGUGCACCGCCGAGGUGGGGAUGGGGGAGC